rnacentral:rRNA from 1 species
AUUGAACGCUGGCGGCAGGCCUAACACAUGCAAGUCGAACGAGUGGCGGACGGGUGAGUAAUGUCUGGGAAACUGCCUGAUGGAGGGGGAUAACUACUGGAAACGGUAGCUAAUACCACAUACCAUCGGAUGUGCCCAGAUGGGAUUAGCUAGUAGGGGGGGUAACGGCUCACCUAGGCGACGAUCCCUAGCUGGUCUGAGAGGAUGACCAGCCACACGGGAACUGGGACACGGUCCGGACUCCUACGGGAGGAGGCAGGGGGGAAUGUUGCACAGUGGGCGCAGGCCUGAUGCAGCCAUGCCGCGUGUAUGAGGAGGGCCUUCGGGUUGUAAAGUACUUUCAGCGGGGAGGCGUUACCCGCAGAAGAAGCACCGGCUAACUCCGUGCCAGCAGCCGCGGUAAUAC